CCAUUUUGUCGUCUAAAGAAAAAGAAUAUUAACUAAUUGAAAUGGAACAUAUCAACUUCAAAAAUUUGCUUUCAAUAAUUUGUAUUGCGAAGCGACGAAUAUAUCUACUACAAAUAUUGGAGAUUGGGCCUAUACAUAGCGUUCAUCGAGUUGAUGCGAUAAAUAUAUCAUUGUUCAAUGAAUGAUAGAAUUGUCAAAAUGCAGAAUUGUGGAUAAUUAAAUGCAAAUUUGUAAAUGGUGCAUUUUCAUACAGACAUUGUACGUAAUGGAGCUCAUAUUGUGAACAAGUCAGCGUGAUGAAUUGUGGACUUUCAUAAUAAGGUAAACUGAAAAAAGCAGCAAUGCAGUUUACACUCGGAGACGCAACGAUUAUUUUUGAAGAAUGAUAUAAACAGAAGAUUGUCUGUGUUUGAAAAACGGACCUUCUUUCAUUUUAGCGACAGACAAUUUGGAAUUGAAGAAACUACGAGCCUCCAGAAGCAAUGCAGAGCCAUUGAAAAAAUUGUAGACAAUAUAGAAGAAAAUCACGUUGCAUUAUAUAACCAUAAUCUAUAAAAUUUGUGAUGCUUUAUCAACGAGAAUCUCGUAUCAAUUGUCUAAUGACUGUAGAAUUAGCCUACCAAAUCCUACAUCGAUUACAUUGUAACAUUGUUUUUUACAUGAACCAUUUCCUCGACGAAGUCCAAUCAAUUUUUGUACAAUUUUUUAAAAAGAUUUUUAAGAAAGGUAAAAUUAAAGAAAGAAAGAAGAAAGGUGAAAGAAAUUAAAGUAAUGCAAUGUAGUUAAAAAUGUAAUUAUUUUACUUUAAAUUACUCAUAAAAAUAAAUUGUCAUUGUCGUUGUAUCGAGAAACUUCAAACUAUUUAGGGAAUAGUAAAGUUUUUAAAUUGUUUAAGCUUAAUUUAAA